rnacentral:lncRNA from 1 species
CUUUCCCAUCAACUCAUAUUUCUCUGAGAGAGAUCAUCACUCAGUGGAAAAAGGAUUUCUCACAACUUCCGAAACAAAAGAGAGGCAUUCCAGCAAAGCUCAGAAUUCCUGACCCCAAGAGCAGUUCUGAGAGCUCAGAGGAGGAGGAGGAGGAAGCAGCACAAACCAUACAAACUCAUCUGAGUGUGAAUAACAGCACCAAGCCAACAAAGACGGUAACUAAAGAAGAGAGUAGUAGCAGCGAAGAUUCAGAUUCAUCUUCUGAAGAGGAAGAGGAAGCAGUUGCCAAAAAGACUG